rnacentral:lncRNA from 1 species
CUCUUAUCUCAUUUUUAGAAAUUAAGACUUGGGUAUUUGCUCGAAAGUUGAAGUACAUUGAAGAGCUUAUGAGGCUACAAAAUCAAGAUAAUUUGUGCAUUCAUUUAUAAUGGGCAUCAUUAGGAAAAUCAACAUUUGCAUCACAAUAUUUUAUCUAGAUGACCAGUCAUAUAGGCAAAAUGUUUCCAGCACGGGAUUUUUAACCAAGUGACGUUUUCU